rnacentral:rRNA from 1 species
ACGCUGGCGGCGUGCUUAACACAUGCAAGUCGAACGGGCCUUGUCCCCUUUUUUUUGGGGGUGGGGUUAGUGGCGAACGGGUGAGUAACACGUGAGUAACCUGCCCCUCACUUCUGGAUAACCGCUUGAAAGGGUGGCUAAUACGGGGUGUUCUGGCCUGCUCGCAUGGGUGGGUUUGGAAAGAUUCGACCGGUUUUGGUUGUUUUGGUGGGGGAUGGGCUCGCGGCCUAUCAGCUUGUUGGUGGGGUGAUGGCCUGCCAAGGCUUUGACGGGUAGCCGGCCUGAGAGGGUGGGCGGUCACACUGGGACUGAGACACGGCCCAGACUCCUACGGGAGGCAGCAGUGGGGAAUAUUGCACAAUGGGCGCAAGCCUGAUGCAGCGACGCCGCGUGAGGGAUGGAGGCCUUCGGGUUGUGAACCUCUUUCGCCAGUGAAGAAGGUCCCGCUCUUUGUGGUGGGGUUGACGGUAGCUGGGUUAAUGAAGCGCCGGCUAACUACGUG